rnacentral:tRNA from 1 species
GUUCGUGUAGCUCAGCAACGUAGAGCACCUCGCAUGGGGCGAGGGGGUCGCAGGUGCAAUACCUGUCACGGACC